rnacentral:rRNA from 1 species
AUUGAACGCUGGCGGCAGGCCUAACACAUGCAAGUCGAGCGGAUGAAGAGAGCUUGCUCUCUGAUUUAGCGGCGGACGGGUGAGUAAUGCCUAGGAAUCUGCCUGGUAGUGGGGGAUAACGUCCGGAAACGGGCGCUAAUACCGCAUACGUCCUACGGGAGAAAGCAGGGGACCUUCGGGCCUUGCGCUAUCCGAUGAGCCUCGGUCGGAUUAGCUAGUUGGUGAGGUAAUGGCUCACCAAGGCUACGAUCCGUAACUGGUCUGAGAGGAUGAUCAGUCACACUGGAACUGAGACACGGUCCAGACUCCUACGGGAGGCAGCAGUGGGGAAUAUUGGACAAUGGGCGAAAGCCUGAUCCAGCCAUGCCGCGUGUGUGAAGAAGGUCUUCGGAUUGUAAAGCACUUUAAGUUGGGAGGAAGGGCAGUAAGUUAAUACCUUGCUGUUUUGACGUUACCGACAGAAUAAGCACCGGCUAACUUCGUGCCAGCAGCCGCCGUAAGAC